ACUCCUACGGGAGGCAGCAGUGAGGAAUAUUGGUCAAUGGACGAGAGUCUGAACCAGCCAAGUAGCGUGAAGGAUGACUGCCCUAUGGGUUGUAAACUUCUUUUAUACGGGAAUAAAGUGAGGCACGUGUGCCUUUUUGUAUGUACCGUAUGAAUAAGGAUCGGCUAA
rnacentral:rRNA from 1 species